rnacentral:misc_RNA from 1 species
GAUGAAGAACUAGCGAAAUGCGAUAAGUAAUGUGAAUUGCAGAAUUCAGUGAACCAUCGAAUCUUUGAACGCACAUUGCGCCCGGCAGUAAUCUGCCGGGCAUGCCUGUCCGAGCGUCAUUUCUCCCCUCGAGCGCAGCUUUCCCCCCCGGGGGAGGGCCGCGCCCGGUGUUGGGGCGCUACGGAGGAGCCCAGCGCUCCCCCGUAGGCCCCGAAAUGUAGUGGCGGUCCCGCCGCGGCGCCCCCUGCGUAGUAGUUUUACAACUCGCAUCGGGUCCCGGCGGAGGCCAGCCGUCAAACCCCCCAACUUCAAUAGUUUGACCUCGGAUCAGGUAGGGUUACCCGCUGAACUUAAGCAUAUCAAUAAGCGGAGGA